UCGCGUUUUGAUUCAGUUCAGUUGACGACGGUGCGCCGUGCGCCAUAUUCUUUUCUUGUUUUCUCUAAAAAUAAAUGAUUACGUGUAAUCAAAGAGACCGGAAAGCCGUCAAGGUGCACCCAUCAGGAGACGAAUAAACAGCAGAAUUCUUGCCGUCCGCUGCUGGAACAUCCAUCAAAAAUAUUUAGCUCGGGAGUCGGAAGCUGCGCACAAGGGAAAUCCGUAAUCCAUUUGCCAACAGGAUGUGCAUGGAACAUAACCAGCUUUAAAGCGCCUCUGAAUGCUGAAGCCUUCCAUGCAGCUUUGUACAACAUUACUCCGGCGAAGGCAAUCCGGCAGAAUAGGGCUACCUUUGUUCUUUAAAUCAAUACUGGAUUCUGGAUGGUUUUUCGUGAAAUGCAGUCGGAGAAUGAAUGACCCGGAAGGAAAUUGUCCAAUGUCAACUCGCCCAAUCUGCGAAAACCUUUGCAGUGGGCCACGAACCACCAAGAUGAUCCAGCACCGGCCGAAGAUGACGAAAACAUGGAGCAGCGUAGCGACAUCAGCUGGAGGACGCUAUGGUCUGAUGAAGCUGACGCAUGACGGUUUGCAGUGUAUCGCCAUUACAUGUGAUCUCUGAAUGCGACGGCUCGGGCGACGGGACACAACGCUUUCGUAAAAAAUGCGUCAAGAAAGUGCUGUUAUAGUGGAUAUAGUUGGUUAUAUUUAUAUGCCGAUCAUAAUAUAAUAAAUAAACAAAUUAUUUUUAAAAAA